GUUUUAGGUAUUUUCUGCUCAUGAAAUUUAAAUGGCCGCAGUACUUUGACUGUGCUAAGGUAGCAUAAUCAAUUGUCUCUUAAUUGGAGACUAGAAUGAAUGAAUUUAUGGUUAAAUUCUUUAUUUAUAUAUUUUAUUAAAAUUUAUUAAUUAGGUGAAAAUACCUAAAAAUAAUUUAUUAGACGAGAAGACCCCAGGAAUUUUCAUUUUUUUAUUGGGGCGAUAUUUAAACAAUUACAAGAACUUUAGAUUAUUUAAUAAAACGAAAGAUUUUAAUUAAAAAUAAAUUACCCUGGGGAUAACAGCAUAAUUUUUUAUAAAGAUUGUGACCUCGAUGUUGGAUUAGAAAAAAAAUUUACUUAAAGAGUAAUUUUUUAUGUUCUGUUCGAACAAUAAUAAUUUUUCUACGUGAUCUGGUCCCAACC
rnacentral:rRNA from 1 species